CACGUAUCAUGAUAACACUGUUAAAACUUAAACUUGUGUUGGUUAUAAUAUAAAUUCAAGUUCGUCGUACACAUAUUGUCAAUAUUUCAUUUUAUUACUUCAAAAAAAAAAAAAAAAUUGAUGUAGAAAAUUCAGGGGAGGCAACUGCCUCAUAGGUAGUUUCGGCCCUGUAAAUGAAUAUAAACACUAGAAUUGAAAACCAAAAGAUAUAUGUAAAAGAAAGAAAAAGCAGAAAAUAUUUUAAACAGAAACUCAAAAUUACUUUUGACAAAUUUUAAUGUCAAAAUCCAAUACAAUGUGACAGCUGGGAACAGUAUGUGAUGAUGAUCCAGUCUUCACGCUGAACUGCUAAAUCUACAGGCCCGCAGCUCAAUUUUUGAAAAUUUUUAGUUAGAUUCUGUUGGCCUGUAGGUCUGAUUUUUACAGGCCAAAGAGCAAUUUUACCAGCCUGGGCUGCCUGGGCUGCCACUCGGCGUGAAGACUAUAUCUAACAAUAUAUAUGUUCCUGGUCACAGUUUGAAUUUUCUUUAUCAGUGAUAAAUGUUGAUAAUGCAUGUAAGAUGCUUUUAAAGUGUAAACAUAUUACUGCAAUUUUGAAGGGGUAUUUUUUUUUCUCAAUUUUGAAGGAUCAGUUAAAGUAGCUGGAAGAUUCUUACGUUAUUUUCACAAAUAACUACCUGAAUGUAGGCAAAUCAUAUGAUAUAUAGGUGGCGUCCUUUGGGCCACUCUACCCCCUCCUGUUUGAUAACUUUGAAACUGAUGACCUCUCAACCAUAUACAUUCAUGUAUGGGACUAUAUAUAUAACUAAUCAAAUGUAAUAUAAGGGGAGUCCAUGGGGUGACCCCACCCCUCCUGUUUGGGAACUUACGAAACGGUCGAGAUCCCCACCCCUAAACAAUAUAUAUUCAUGUAUGGGUCAAUAUAACUAAUUAAAUGAAAUAUAGGGGGAGUCCCCCUACCCCCUCCUGUUUGAGAACUUGGAAACCGAUGAGAUCCCCACCCCUAAACCAUAUAUAUUCAUGUAUGGGACAAUAUAACAAAUCAAAUGAAAUAUAGGAGAAGUCCCUGGGGUCAUCCUAUCCCUUCCUGUUUGAGAACUUGAAAACCCUCGAGAUCCCCACCCCUAAACCAUAUAUAUUCAUGUAUGGAACAAUAUAACAAAUCAAAUGAAAUAUAGGGGAAGUCCCUGGGGUCACCCUACCCUUUCCUGUUUGAGAACUUGAAAACCCUCGAGAUCCCCACCCCUAAACCAUAUAUAUUCAUGUAUGGGACAAUAUAACAAAUCAUUUACAUUUACUAUGGGCAGGUCAGUCAGACCUCACCUUUGAUCCUUGUAGUAGUGAACAUUUGUCUGAUUUGUGUCGCAUAACUAUUGUACUAUAGAACACAUACUCAGUUUUCUUUACAGGGAAACCAGUCCAUUCAUAGUAUGUUGACUUAGUACGAACACGUAAUAGUAUGAAUUUCAUACUAUUACAUGUUCGUACUAAGUCAACACGUACUACUAACAGUCAACUAAAACCAACGUUAACUACCAACUAGAACAACUACAAUCAUUGCGAACUUGUACCACUGCAGACUCACCAUAAAAAAUAUACAUUUAUAUAUUCAUUGCUAUUGAAACCUUGAUAACAUAUAAAUUAUUUGCCUUAAUAAUUAAUUCAUUAGAUAAACAUAAAUGUACAAUAUAUGAAUGUUUAAUGCCACAUCAGAGGCGGAUUUAGAGGGUUUUUCAGUGGCUCCCCCUUUCCAUUUUAGAGAAAAAAUUUGGUUGAUUAUAUAGGGAAUCACUGAAGCAUAACUGGAGCAGGUCCCCUGUUAGGCAGGCAGUGGACCCCCACUUAUGAAAAUUUCUGGAUCCGCCACUGCACAUAAUUACGUUUGCCUGGUUUUUGGUUAACUGCCUUCAGCGCUUACAGC
rnacentral:lncRNA from 1 species